UUCUGAUCCAUUAGUAAUUAUAAAAAUGUAUUUUAUUUGUAGUGCACUUAACAUUGAAUAAACAAUUUAAAAUUUCUAAUUUGGUUUCUAAUAUCAAGUUUGCAUUGAAACCUUUAGGUCUUCAGCUCGUUUGUGUGGGGAGCUGUGGCCUACACACGCUACACAACUCCUUCAAGUGUGGGUUCACUGUAUGGCAGCUGGACAAAUUGCUGAGAGCAAUGCACACAUUGUUUCACAAUACGCCUGCCAAGAGAGAGGAUUACAUCACCGUAACCAAGUCCAGUGUGUUCCCUCUAUCUUUCUGUGCCCAUCGUUGGGUAGAAAACCUUCCGGUUGUGGAGAGAGCCCUGGCAGUCUGGCCAUCAUUUCUCCUGUACAUGGAAGCUGUGAAAACAAAGAGACUCCCGAACCCUGGAACAGCAUCAUAUGACACAGUUGCAGCAGCCAUAAAGGAUCCACUCGUCUUGGCCAAAUUGCAGUUCUACGCAGCAAUUGCCAGGACCUUCAAUUCCUUCCUGAAAAAAUAUCAGACGGAUGAGCCUGUGCUCCCAUUCCUCCCCUCCAGGACCUGUCCGAGUUGAUGAUGAGUCUACUCAGACGCUUCAUAAAAGUACUACACGAUAUCACUGCCCUGCAGCUGACCAAACUGGAUGUCACAGACAAGACCAUCUGGCUCAGCCCACAAGACAUCAGCAUUGGUCUAGGUGCAGAGUCAGUCCUUUAGAGAAUCAAAGGUGCAGAGCUCAGGGUGCUCGAGUUCAAGAGAGAGUGCAUGCAGGGACUGAGUAACAUGAUCAAGAAAGUGCAGGACAAGAGCCCCCUCAAGUAUCUGACUGUUAGGCAGAUGGUGUGCCUGGAUCCGUCAGUAAUGUAUAGAGAACCAGAAAGAGGCAGGAAUCACAUGAAAGGGCUGGUUCAAAGGUUUCUCCAGGACAAACAGCUUACUGAUACUUCUUCGGGGGAUGUCAUACUGCAGCAGUUUGACAGUCUCCUGUCCUUGGAGAGCCGGAGUGAGGACUUCCUCUCCUUUCAACCCAUGCAGAAGAGGCUGGACAUCUUCCUGAGCAGCGCCAUGGAGCCUUAUCCCGAGCUGUGGGCCUUCUGCAAGAAGCUGCUCAUCCUCUCCCACGGUCAAGCUACAGUUGAGCGUGGAUUCUCAAUCAAUAAAGAGGUGGAGUCUGAUAACUUGGCGGAGGAUACUGUGGUCACACGGAGACUGGUGUGUGACUACAUCAUACAACAUGGAGGUGUUACCAAGGUUCCACUCAGUAAACCGCUACUGGAAAGUGUAGCAAGGGCAAGGACAAGGUAUCGUACCCAUCUGGAGACCAAAAGAAGGAACAGGGAGGCAAAAGACCAGGCUCUCAAGAGGAGGGAAGCAGAGGACUGUCUUGAGGAGCUGAAGGUUAAGAGGAGACGUGUACAGGAGGUAUCUGAGGGUCUGGCUAGGGAUGCGGACAAGAUGGCUGAGGAGGCUGAAGCGAAGGCAGGGAGCAAGAUGGCUUGCCUGAUCACCAGGUCAAACAUCCUGCGGAGAGGCCAUAAGGAGAAGUUGGCAGAACUGGCUCUCCUUGAUAAAGAGAUCGCUGCUAAGAGUGCAGAACUUAGGAGUUGACUGUGUGAUCAUAAUUUUAUUUAUUGUUGAGUUGAUUUUCAUUGUUUAUUGUUCAGGAGUCUGUGCUGUUGGCGUAAGUACUCACCACUAUGCUGCAAUAUUCCAUCAUUCCAUAAUGCUUUACAGUCCACAUUUUCACAUUUGUUGAAAUAAAUGAACAAAUUUUGAACAAACGUUGUCAGUAGGUCUGUGAAAUAGGCCGUGAAAUAGGUAUUAAUUUUUAUAUAAGUUGUCUUAAAAGGGACUUAAAAAGACUUGAAUUUGACUUGAACAAAUCUGUAGGAACCCUGUAAUAAAAUAACCUCAAACAGC
ensembl:lncRNA